AGGGUUUGAUUCUGGCUCAGGAUGAACGCUGGCGGCGUGCUUAACACAUGCAAGUCGAACGAAGCACUUGAAGAUGAUUCUUCGGAUGAAACUUCUUGUGACUUAGUGGCGGACGGGUGAGUAACGCGUGGGUAACCUGCCUCACACAGGGGGAUAACAGUUAGAAAUGACUGCUAAUACCGCAUAACCCGAUAGGAUCGCAUGAUCCAGACGGAAAAGAUUUAUCGGUGUGAGAUGGACCCGCGUCUGAUUAGCUAGUUGGUGAGGUAACGGCCCACCAAGGCGACGAUCAGUAGCCGGCCUGAGAGGGUGAACGGCCACAUUGGGACUGAGACACGGCCCAA
rnacentral:rRNA from 1 species